rnacentral:tRNA from 1 species
ACUAUUUUGGCAGAUUAGUGUGUUAAGUUUAGAACUUAUUUAUGUGUUUAAAAUAUCACAAAUAGUA